rnacentral:rRNA from 1 species
AUCAUCAUAAAAUGACCGGCGGAAUGUAGCUUCGACCUCGAUUGAAGUGUUAUAGCCUCUGGUAGAUGUGGUCAUCGGGACUGAGGAUUGCAACGAAUAUCCUUUGGGCUAUCCGUCUGAUCUCCGAAAGUUGCUCAGGUGCCGAAAGCGUGCUUACGGUCAUCUAAGUUGACGGUCAAUAGGUUAGAACGUGAUUACAUUCGUUAAGGAUGUUGGCGUAAUGGCUUUAAACGACCCGUCUUGAAACACGG